rnacentral:rRNA from 1 species
GAUGAACGCUGGCGGCGUGCCGAAUACAUGCAAGUCGAGCGAAUGGAUUAAGAGCUUGCUCUUAUGAAGUUAGCGGCGGACGGGUGAGUAACACGUGGGUAACCUGCCCAUAAGACUGGGAUAACUCCGGGAAACCGGGGCUAAUACCGGAUAACAUUUUGAACCGCAUGGUUCGAAAUUGAAAGGCGGCUUCGGCUGUCACUUAUGGAUGGACCCGCGUCGCAUUAGCUAGUUGGUGAGGUAACGGCUCACCAAGGCAACGAUGCGUAGCCGACCUGAGAGGGGGAUCGGCCACACUGGGACUGAGACACGGCCCAGACUCCUACGGGAGGCAGCAGUAGGGAAUCUUCCGCAAUGGACGAAAGUCUGACGGAGCAACGCCGCGUGAGUGAUGAAGGCUUUCGGGUCGUAAAACUCUGUUGUUAGGGAAGAACAAGUGCUAGUUGAAUAAGCUGGCACCUUGACGGUACCCAACCAGAAAGCCACGGCUAACUACGUGCCAGCCGCCGCAGUAA